rnacentral:lncRNA from 1 species
GUUUUUUUUCUAUUUUUUGAAUUUCUGUUUUAUUUUCUUUUAUUCCAUUUAUUGUCUUUUCCCUUUGCUCAUUUGAGCUCAUGUUUAUGUUUAUGCCAUUUGCCUUUUGCCCACUUGAGCACAUUAUUGUGUAAAUAUACUAUUGCUUUGUGCUUGUUUUGUCUUUGUUUGUGUGAACCCAAUGCAAAAAGGAGAAAUGACUUAGAAUUAGGACCUCACCUAUG